UGGGGAAUUUUGGACAAUGGGGGCAACCCUGAUGGAGCGACGCCGCGUGGAGGAUAAGGUCUUCGGAUUGUAAACUCCUGUCAUGCGCGAACAAGGUUGCAGGGAUAAUACCUUUGCAAAUUGAUGGUAGCGCAAGAGGAAGAGACGGCUAACUCUGUGCCAGCAGCCGCGGUAAUACAGAGGUCUCAAGCGUUGUUCGGAAUCACUGGGCGUAAAGGGUGCGUAGGUGGCAUGGUAAGUCAGAUGUGAAAGCCUGGGGCUCAACCUCAGAAUUGCAUCCGAUACUGCUGUGCUAGAGUACUGGAGGGGUGACUAGAAUUCUCGGUGUAGCAGUGAAAUGCGUAGAUAUCGAGAGGAAUACCAAAGGCGUAGGCAGGUCACUGGACAGUUACUGACACUGAGGCACGAAGGCCAGGGGAGCAAACG
rnacentral:rRNA from 1 species